UAAUGUCAUCACAUUAAAAUCAGGAAUAAAUCUACUGUAUUGUAAAAAUUAGUAGGUUUAAUAUAAAAAGUAUGUAUAUUAUUUAGAAAACAAGAUACAAUUAUUCAGACUACUUAAAGUUAAUAACAAAUUUCAAUAUGAAGUAUUUGUCAACAUUGCUUGUUUUGGGAAGAAACCCCCUGCGGAAGAAAGUAAUGGUGAUCAACAUGAAGGUGGAGAACAAGAUCAAAUGUGUGCUGCAAAAGUCAACAUCCGCCCGACUCGAGUGGCGACACCGUACCUAACUUGGUGGCGGUGGAUGCAGAUCAUGACUCCGCAGUUGCAGCCCAACUGUUCCUCAGCCUCCUAGAAAUUCCAGCCAUGAAAUCAAUGCAGACACAGUUAAAUUAUUGUUAAUCAAUUGCUGAGUGAGAUUAAUGCCUGUUAUUAAAAAUUAUUGUCUCAAA